rnacentral:rRNA from 1 species
AGGGUUUGAUCCUGGCUCAGAGUGAACGCUGGCGGCGUGCCUAACACAUGCAAGUCGAACGCGAAAAUCUCCUUCGGGAGAUAAGUAGAGUGGCAGACGGGUGAGUAAUGCAUAGGUAAUCUACCUCCGAGUGGGGAAUAACUUGCCGAAAGGUGGGCUAAUUCCGCAUAAUAUAUUGACACCCAAGUGUUAAUACCAAAGGGGGGGAUCCUUCGGGACCUCCUGCUUGGAGAUGAGCCUAUGUCCUAUUAGCUUGUUGGUGGGGUAAAAGCCUACCAAGGCUCUGAUGGGUAGCCGAGCUGAGAGGCUGACCGGCCACACUGGAACUGAAACACGGUCCAGACUCCUAUGGGAGGCAGCAGUGGGGAAUUUUGCGCAAUGGGCGAAAGCCUGACGCAGCGACGCCGCGUGAGGGAUGACGGUCCUCGUGAUUGUAAACCUCUGUCAGGAAGGAUUAAAUGUACAGUUGUUAAUACCAGUUGUGCUUGACUUAACUUCCAGAGGAAGCUCCGGCUAACUACGUGCCAGCAGCCGCGGUAAUACGUAGGGGGCUAGCGUUACUCGGAUUCACUGGGCGUAAAGCGAGUGUAGGCUGUCAAAUAAGUCAGUGGUGAAAUCCCUCAGCUUAACUGAGGAAUUGCCAUUGAAACUGUCUGACUAGAGGACAGGAGAGGAAAGUGGAAUUCCCGGUGUAGCGGUGGAAUGCGUAGAUAUCGGGAGGAACACCAGAGGCGAAUGCGGCUUUCUGGACUGAUCCUGACGCUGAGAUUCGAAAGCUAGGGUAGCAAACAGGAUUAGAUACCCUGGUAGUCCUAGCUGUAAACGAUGGAUACUAGAUUUUGCAAAAUUUUGCUUGAUCGAAGCUAACGCGUUAAGUAUCCCGCCUGGGGAGUACGGUCGCAAGGCUGAAACUCAAGGAAUUGACGGGGACCCGCACAGCAGUGAGCAUGUGUUAUCGAUGCACGCGAGACUUACUGGCUGACUGCAGCAUAGCUGCUGAAAGGUAGUGAUUAUCUUGAUCAACUGUAAGGUGCUGCAUGCUGUCGUCAGCUCGGUCUGAAUGUGGAUAGUCCGCACGAGGCA